GGACGGACCCCGUGUGUUGUCAAAAGCGCCAACCGGGUCAGGUGGGGAACCAAGCAGCCCUACGCGAUUUUUGACAGGCCUCGGGUAAUCUGUUCCGG
rnacentral:SRP_RNA from 1 species